rnacentral:rRNA from 1 species
UACGUAGGGUGCGAGCGUUGUCCGGAUUUAUUGGGCGUAAAGAGCUCGUAGGCGGCUUGUCGCGUCGGAUGUGAAAGCCCGGGGCUUAACUCCGGGUCUGCAUUCGAUACGGGCAGGCUAGAGUGUGGUAGGGGAGAUCGGAAUUCCUGGUGUAGCGGUGAAAUGCGCAGAUAUCAGGAAGAACACCCGUGGCGAAGGCGGCUCUCUGGGACGGUACUGACGCUGAGACGCGAAAGCGUGGGGAGCGAACAGG